rnacentral:rRNA from 1 species
UACAGAGGGGGCAAGCGUUGUUCGGAAUUACUGGGCGUAAAGGGCGCGUAGGCGGCUCGCUAAGUUGGAUGUGAAAACUCUGGGCUUAACCCAGAGCCUGCAUUCAAAACUGACGGGCUAGAGUUCUGGAGGGGAUAGCGGAAUUCCUGGUGUAGCGGUGAAAUGCGUAGAUAUCAGGAGGAACACCGGUGGCGAAGGCGGCUAUCUGGACAGAAACUGACGCUGAGGCGCGAAAGCUAGGGGAGCAAACAGG